AUUCUGGGAGACCUCAUCUGAUAGACAACUUAUGAGAUUAGUAUGGAUGAAUCUUCACAGAGGAAGCCUCUGGGAAUGAGUUUUUCUCAGUGUGUCUCCUGUUCUCAUGGCCUUGCAGUCAGAGGUUUUGGACUGGUGACUUCUGGACAGACAGCAGGAAUCUCUGUGCAAAAAGAAGCCACCAGAGGUCCAUGUGUCUCUCCAACAAUGGGGUCCUUUGUUUGGUUGCGGGACCUCGGCCGGUCGGUUCUCAGGGGAAUGAGAGGAACAUUUGAGCCUAAGCACUUGAAUGUGUGAAUGCUCCUGCCUUCACACACAGACUGUCCCAUACCUGUAUGUAUGUGUGUGUGUUUGUGUGUGUGUUUGUGUGUGUCACCUUGUCCUUGGACUGAGAAGCAACACCCAUACAGUGUAAUUUGUGUCUUUUUCAGGAAACUUCAUCCUUUCUGCUUUUUAUGGCUAUUGGUCAAGGAAAUGUGAGGAUUGGGAAAUCAUGAAUGUUCCUGUAAAUAAUAAUACGGAUAUGCUGAUACACUCCUGUUCAUCAUAUUUAUGAUUUAGAAACAAAUUCAGACUGGCCACAUUUUAACUCUGCCGUAGUGUUUAGAGGUGAAGUGUUGAUUGAAACGAUAAUAUAACGGACGUGAAGCGUCCUCUAACUAGCUCCCAAAACAAGGACAGGGCAUGUGCAGUUGUGUGUCACGUAUAAAUUCCAGAGCUUUCGGAGUGUCACUUGAAAAACCCCAUGCUUUUAAAUUCCUGUCUUGGGCAGACACAACAACAACAGGAAGAAGGACCAUUUUCACAGGUGUCAGGAAGCACAGGAAAUAAACAAGCUGAAUACUGGAAAACAUUUUUGUACCAGUAAGAGUCAGAGGUGAGGCUAAUAAGAGUUAUUUUUAGCUUGGCCAGUAUUUUCUUGAACUUUUUUUAUUGUCCUGGAUGUUCUGUAGUUAUUUUUGUUUCAAUCUCCAGCAGAGUUUCUAUACGUUAAUGCUGCCUUAUGAAGGAUUACAUACGAUAAGUAUCGAAUCAAGUGCCACAUGUAAUGAAUGAUCAUUAAUGCCAUGAGGAUUCCUUACAAUUUUAAAGAAUUAAUUUAAUUUCAUUGAACUGUCACGAUAAGUGUUAUUAAAAACCAAAAUAUAUAUGUAUAUGAAUACUUUGACAUUUAUCAGAGUGUUACAUUAUUGUUUUCAAAUGUUAUCAUGAACUCAUAUAGUUAAAAAAUGUGCACAAAUGUUGAGCCACCCCUCAUUUCUAAAUAUUUUGCUACAGACAAAGGUGCAGCAAUAUAAUAGAACAUAUGUAAACAUACACGGGAAGACAGUAUAUAAGACAGUAUAAAAGGCUAAAACAGGGUUUGAACAAGUCUUGAAAAUCAAUAUUUGGUAUGGCCACCUAUAUUCUUCUAAUCACCUUGAACUCUCUUAGUGGACAUUCAAAGCUCUUCUUUGGAUGCUGGCGGAUUUUUGCUCUGUUCUCUGUCAAGAUGAUCGCACACCGCUUCAGUAAUGUUGAGGUCAGGGCUCUGAGGGUAAUCCACAGCUCAUAGUGUUCAGUUGUGCAUUUUUCUAUCCAGGUAAGUUUUUACUGCACUGGCAGUGUGUUUGGAAGCAUUAUCGUGCUGGAAAAAGAAGAUGUUGCCAAUCUGAUGCUUUCCAGAUGAUAUUGUGUGAUGGAUCAAAAUCUGUUUUUCAGUUCCAUGAAUUCUGACGAGAUCGCUAAACCUCUGGCUGAAAUACAGCCCCAAACCGUGACAGAGCCUCCACUGUGUUGGUUUUACAAAUUUUGUCCCUCUGUCCUGAUCCCCUCUGUACAUAAUGAUAAUGAUUUGAACCCAAAAUUUCACAUUGGGAUUCAUCACUCCAUCAGACUUGUUGCCAGAGAUUUGUCACUAUAAUUUGGCAUACCACAGCUUUUUCCUUUGUUUUCUUGACAUCCACCCUUCCACUGAGACUAUUUCUAAUGAACAGUAGAUGAUCAAAUAAAGGGCUAAAUGCAUCUCUCAGGUUUUUUUUUCUUUUCUUUUUUUAAGGACAGACUGCCCACACUGCAGACAUAUGCUAAGUUUGUUGCUAAUACCUCAGUGGGAAUCAUAUUAUUUAUGCAAACAAUACUAUUUUAUGCCUGUCAAAUUGGGUCAUCUUUAGCAUUUAUCAUGGAUUCAGCUAAAAAAUGGAAACAAAUGAAAUGUUUUGUGAUAGGCUGCUGAUAAAGGCAGCCUGUCUCCACUUGGGAGCAAAAAAUAAAGAAAUGAGGGGUGGCUAGUACUUUUACACAACACUGUUUGAAGUGCUUUGUAUAAUCUGCACAGAAUUUGUUCCACUGUUUUUCUGUAGAUUUUAGGAUUUAAAUAAAAUUGUUAAAUCUAAAGUUAGAUACCUUUUUCUGAAAAGUGUGUAUUCUUAAUGAUGCUCACUGACUUAAAAUUUGUGUCUAUCUUCUCUGGUGUUUAAAGAAACCGAUGGGUGAAAUGGAGAAAAAAAAUCCUGUA